rnacentral:lncRNA from 1 species
UCCAGAUCCUGUGCAAUUAUCCUCAGGCAUCAAUAGAAAGAAUCUCUGCUAUAGCAAAACUAAAAUGAGCAAUAACAAUAUAGACAGCUGCUUACUACAUUGUUGAUAAUCACCGAGAAAACAGCAUAUCAUGUUUGGCUGGACAUCUCUAAAGUUCUCUAAGUACAAGUUCUAAAUGUGGGCAAGAGUAUGGGAAAGAAAGACAAAGAAAGGAAUUGACAGACCAACCAACUGACCCGGGGGUUUCUUUGUUGUAACAGUCCCAGCUGCUCUGGAACUUGCUAAGUAGAUCAGGCUAGCUUCGAACUGACUGAAAUCCGACUGACUGCAUGUACCUCCCGAGUGCUAGGAUUAAAGUCCAGGAUCUCCUGCCCAGUGAAUGGUCCUGCCUACAAUUAAGAUGGGUCUUUCCACAUCAUUGAACCUAAUCAAGAUAAUCUCCCACAGGUUUUGAAAGGAGGUGAAAAGUGAGCAAGAGUUGUGAAGGAAGGGAAGAUGCUCUCUCAUGGUGAAGGAUGAAUGGAAUGAACUGCCAUGGUCUGUGCCCCUGGCAAAAUUGAGAUUGGAGAGAGCAAAGGCCUCUGCAGUCCAAGAGCGUGUAAUGGAAGAAUACAGAGAACACUGGAGUCUACAUUUUGCAAGGAAAUUACCAGCACACUCAUAAUUUAGAUGCACACCAAAGCCGUUAAAUAUAAAGAGGCAAUCAACAUUAUGAAGUCA